UUGAUGAUCUGUCACGGGACGCUCACGAGGUCACGUUUUCUUCCUGGGAGUCCUGCCUACAGCCUCUGGUCACAGGAUGGGCUAUUCAUUGUGCACAGGGGCUACUUCUGAAGGACAGAGAUAACUGGUGUCUUGGCUUCUUCUCCUGGGCCAGCUAGGAUGGCUGUGACCACCCCAGGCCCUGGCUCUCUCAAAGCCUAGGAUGGACUGUGUGAAGUGUCUAAACCGUUACCAGCUCUGGCAGGUAAGUCUGGUUGUGGUUGCCUGACGUCUCCAAAGUCAUAGAGCUGCUGAGAGGCACAGGAG
ensembl:lncRNA